rnacentral:rRNA from 1 species
GCCCCUUCGGGGGUACUCGAGUGGCGAACGGGUGAGUAACACGUGGGUAAUCUGCCCUGCACUUCGGGAUAAGCCUGGGAAACUGGGUCUAAUACCGGAUAGGACCACUUGGCGCAUGCCUUGUGGUGGAAAGCUUUUGCGGUGUGGGAUGGGCCCGCGGCCUAUCAGCUUGUUGGUGGGGUGACGGCCUACCAAGGCGACGACGGGUAGCCGGCCUGAGAGGGUGUCCGGCCACACUGGGACUGAGAUACGGCCCAGACUCCUACGGGAGGCAGCAGUGGGGAAUAUUGCACAAUGGGCGCAAGCCUGAUGCAGCGACGCCGCGUGGGGGAUGACGGCCUUCGGGUUGUAAACCUCUUUCAGCAGGGACGAAGCGCAAGUGACGGUACCUGCAGAAGAAGCACCGGCCAACUACGUGCCAGCAGCCGCGGUAAUACGUAGGGUGCGAGCGUUGUCCGGAAUUACUGGGCGUAAAGAGCUCGUAGGUGGUUUGUCGCGUUGUUCGUGAAAACCGGGGGCUUAACCCUCGGCGUGCGGGCGAUACGGGCAGACUGGAGUACUGCAGGGGAGACUGGAAUUCCUGGUGUAGCGGUGGAAUGCGCAGAUAUCAGGAGGAACACCGGUGGCGAAGGCGGGUCUCUGGGCAGUAACUGACGCUGAGGAGCGAAAGCGUGGGGAGCGAACAGGAUUAGAUACCCUGGUAGUCCACGCCGUAAACGG